rnacentral:rRNA from 1 species
CCUACGGGAGGCAGCAGUAGGGAAUAUUGCUCAAUGGGGGCAACCCUGAAGCAGCAACGCCGCGUGGAGGAUGAAGGUUCUCGGAUUGUAAACUCCUUUUGUUAGAGGAGAUAGUGACGGUAUGUAACGAAUAAGCACCGGCUAACGCCGUGCCAGCAGCGGCGGUAAUACGGAGGGUGCAAGCGUUACUCGGAAUCACUGGGCGGAAAGAGCGCGUAGGCGGGAUAGCAAGGCAGAUGUGAAAACCUAGGGGUUAACCAUAGGACUGCAUUUGAAACUGCUAUUCUAGAGUAUGGGAGAGGUAGGUGGAAUGCUUGGUGUAGCGGUGAAAUGCGUAGAGAUCAAGAGGAAUACUCAUUGCGAAGGCGACCUGCUAGAGCAUAACUGACGCUGAGGCGCGAAAGCGUGGGGAGCAAACAGGAUUAGAUACCCUUGUAGUC